GAUGAACGCUGGCGGCGUGCCUAACACAUGCAAGUCGAGCGGAAAGACCCUGCUUUUGCGUGGUUCUCGAGUGGGGAACGGGUGAGUAACACAUGAGUAACCUUCCCUUGUCUUUGUGAUAACUUCAGGAGACUGCGGCUAAUACCUGAGAGAAGCUCCUGCUGCAUGGGGGUGGUUGGACAGUGUCGGCUGUUGUGGAUGUACGUGAGGGUUAGCAGCUGGUUGGUGGAGUAGUUGCUUACCAGGGCUUUGACGGAUAGCCGGCAUGGGAGGGUGACCGGGGACAAUGGGACUGCGGUAGGGAGCAGACUGCUAUGGGAGGCAGUAGUGGGAAAUCUUGCACAAUGGGGGGAAGCGUGAUGAAGAGGCGCUGGGUGCGGGAUGACGGGUUUCGGGGUAUAAACCGCUGUAGACUGAGACGAAGCGUGAUUGACGGUAACGGGUAAAGAAGCACCGGCUAACUACGUG
rnacentral:rRNA from 1 species